rnacentral:rRNA from 1 species
UACGUAGGGGGCUAGCGUUGUCCGGAAUCAUUGGGCGUAAAGAGCGUGUAGGCGGUCCGGUAAGUCCGUUGUGAAAGUCAAGGGCUCAACCCUUGAAUGCCGGCGGAUACUGUCGGGCUAGAGUCCGGAAGAGGCAAGUGGAAUUCCCGGUGUAGCGGUGAAAUGCGCAGAUAUCGGGAGGAACACCAAUGGCGAAGGCAGCUCGCUGGGACGGUACUGACGCUGAGACGCGAAAGCGUGGGGAGCAAACAGG